GUGGUUGUAGCUCAGUUGGCUAGAGCAUCGGAUUGUGGCUCCGAAGGUCGAGGGUUCGAGCCCCUUCAACCACC
rnacentral:tRNA from 1 species